rnacentral:rRNA from 1 species
UUGAACCUUCGGAUUCAGGGUA